AUUUACGGCCAAGAGCAAACUGCUUUCGGUGCACUCGCUGCUCGGUGAUGGACUGCUCGCGUGGGCGGGAGGCUUCAAAACUAGAACAUGGAAUUCGAUGCAUAGCAUCCCAUAUUUCUUCCGAAGUGUCAUCCGACCACGAAGGCAAUCAACCCAUUCUACUAUGAAAAGUUCUUACACGCUGGGCCACAGGCUUUACUGGCAUCGCUUCGUCAGAAAGACAGGCCUGUUGGAGGGCGAAACUUAGUUGCAAGCGUCGUAAGUUGGCUGAGCAUGUGAUGGGAGAUUUAUCAGCGGAUCGCGUCCAGUCGAACCCCGCAUUCCACACAACUGAAAUUGACUGAAACUUUUGUGGGCCGUUCUACCAUAAGGUUAAUGCUCGAACUAAGCCACCAUGUAAAUGCCACAUUGCCAUAUUCGUCUGUUUCUCAAUAAAGACUACGCACUUAGAGGUCAUCGUGGAUCUAACUACAGUCUUAUUCAUGGCAGCUUUAAGGCGCUUCAUCAGCCGAAAAGUCAACCGAUUUUGUGGGAGAAAAAGAAGAGCUGCUCGAGCUCAAGGCACUGAUCAAUAGUGAACGAAACACCUCGGUCAUGGCUUAGUUUUGCCUAAGCGAUGGAAUGACUGGAAAUGUAUCCCUCCUCGUUAGUCUCAUUUUGGAGGGUUAUGGGAAGCGGCUGUCAAGUUGGCAAAAUACCACUUUUAUGGAGUCGUCGGAUCCACUGUGCUAACCCCUGAAGAGAUUCGUACUCUCGUAUAUGAGAUAUCGGCCAUUCUGAACUCUCGACCCUUUAUAAAUUUUGAGAAGGCCCCGACAGUCAGGAAGUGCUUAGCCCAUCCCACUUUCUAAAGGAGAUAGCUUCACGACUUUUACAGAGCCGGACGUCAGAAAACUCAACGCUAGCCGUCUAAGG
rnacentral:lncRNA from 1 species